GUGGGGAAUAUUGGACAAUGGGCGAAAGCCUGAUCCAGCCAUGCCGCGUGUGUGAAGAAGGUCUUCGGAUUGUAAAGCACUUUAAGUUGGGAGGAAGGGCAGUAAGUUAAUACCUUGCUGUUUUGACGUUACCGACAGAAUAAGCACCGGCUAACUUCGUGCCAGCAGCCGCGGUAAUACGAAGGGUGCAAGCGUUAAUCGGAAUUACUGGGCGUAAAGCGCGCGUAGGUGGUUUUGUAAGUUGGAGGUGAAAUCCCCGGGCUCAACCUGGGAACUGACUCCAAAACUGCAUGACUAGAGUACGGUAGAGGGUAGUGGAAUUUCCUGUGUAGCGGUGAAAUGCGUAGAUAUAGGAAGGAACACCAGUGGCGAAGGCGACUACCUGGACUGAUACUGACACUGAGGUGCGAAAGCGUGGGGAGCAAACAGGAUUAGAUACCCCAGUAGUCC
rnacentral:rRNA from 1 species